rnacentral:rRNA from 1 species
UACGUAGGGUCCGAGCGUUGUCCGGAAUUAUUGGGCGUAAAGGGCUCGUAGGCGGUUGGUCACGUCGGGAGUGAAAACUCAGGGCUCAACCCUGAGCGUGCUUCCGAUACGGGCCGACUAGAGGUAUGCAGGGGAGAACGGAAUUCCUGAUGUAGCGGUGGAAUGCGCAGAUAUCAGGAGGAACACCGGUGGCGAAGGCGGUUCUCUGGGCAUUACCUGACGCUGAGGAGCGAAAGCAUGGGGAGCGAACAGG